rnacentral:rRNA from 1 species
UACGGGAGGAGCAAGCGUUGUUCGGAUUUACUGGGCGUAAAGGGCUCGUAGGUGGCCAACUAAGUCAGACGUGAAAUCCCCAGGCUCAACUUGGGAACUGCGUCUGAUACUGGAUGGCUUGAAUUCGGGAGAGGGAUGCAGAAUUCCAGGUGUAGCGGUGAAAUGCGUAGAUAUCUGGAGGAAUACCGGUGGCGAAGGCGGCAUCCUGGACCGAGAUUGACACUGAUGAGCGAAAGCUAGGGGAGCAAACGGG